CCUUUGAUAGCUCAGCUGGUAGAGCGGAGGACUGUAGGCUCUCCUGCACAGCCAUCCUUAGGUUGCUGGUUCAACUCUGGCUCGAAGGA
rnacentral:tRNA from 1 species